rnacentral:rRNA from 1 species
UAGACCCGUAUGAAAGGCAAAAUGAGGGUUCAACUGUCUCUUAUAAUACAUCAAUUAAACUGAUCUUCUAGUACAAAAGCUAGAAUACUAACAUAAGACCAGAAGACCCUGUGAAGCUUUAACUAAACUAUUAAACCACUUAAUAACUACUUUCGGUUGGGGCGACCUUGGAAUAAAAAAGAACUUCCAAAUAUCAACAUUACAUUAAAGGCAGACAAGCCCACAUAAGACCCAGCAUAGCUGACAAUUGAACCAAGUUACUCCAGGGAUAACAGCGCUAUCUUCUUCAAGAGCCCAUAUCAAAAAGAAGGUUUACGACCUCGAUGUUGGAUCAGGACAUCCUAGCAAUGCAACCGUUACUAAGGGUUCGUUUGUUCAACGAUUAAUAGUCCUA